CAAGAAUAAAGGAUCUGUAGUUCUUCAUAUGGACUUUAUUGCUCUGAAAAUCAGAUUGCCUUCUACAUGAAAGCUGGAAAUGGGCCACAAAUUAUUUCUUGAGGAAAAAAAGGAUCCGAUGAGCUUGGAUUGUGUCUAACUCUGGACCGGGA